rnacentral:lncRNA from 1 species
UGAAGUUCUGUUUUCAUUUGCAUCAUUCACAUUUAGGGAUGACCCCCAAAUUUUAAUUUUAAAACAAUUGUAAACCACUUUUUGGACUUGGGAUACGAAGUAUUGGUGGUGAGAAAUACAUAUGUAAUUUUGUGUGUAUUUUUUUUCAUUUAUUUUAAUAUUUUAAACAAUUUUACAACAAAAUAUGAUUAAAAUAUAACAAAUGUGACAUGUGUCAGCACAAGGAGAGCCAAAGAUCCCAUCCACUUCCACAUGUCAGCAGGGGACGCCGCCACCUAGCAUCUCAUACAAUUAAAUAAUAUUAUGCAUGUGCCGUCUUCAAAAACCAAGUUAAUGCUAAUACUUCUAACAAAAUAAUAAUAAUAAUAAUAAUAAUGCUAAUACUAUAUGCGGUUAUGCUUGUGAAGAUGUGUUGAUCAACCCCCAAUGUCGUCGUCUCGACUCUCAUUGUUUAAAGGAUAAAGAAACCGAAACCAACCCCAAAGCCACCUCUGGGAUAC